GUGCCAGCAGCCGCGGUAAUACAGAGGUCCCAAGCGUUGUUCGGAUUCACUGGGCGUAAAGGGUGCGUAGGUGGUCGGGUAAGUCUGAUGUGAAAUCUCGGAGCUCAACUCCGAAACGGCAUUGGAUACUAUUCGGCUUGAGGGUUGGAGGGGGGACUGGAAUUCUCGGUGUAGCAGUGAAAUGCGUAGAUAUCGAGAGGAACACCAGUGGCGAAGGCGAGUCCCUGGACAACUCCUGACACUAAGGCACGAAAGCUAGGGGAGCAAACAGGAUUAGAAACCCUGGUAGUCC
rnacentral:rRNA from 1 species